rnacentral:misc_RNA from 1 species
AAGUCGUAACAAGGUUUCUGUAGGUGAACCUGCAGAAAGAUCAUUACCUUUCUAGCUAUUUAAUAGCUUGUCUAAGGGCUACAGUUUCUGCAGUCUCUGACUACAUCCGUGUUUUUGCGUACUACAUGUUUCCUCGGCGGGCUUGCUUGCCAGUUAGACAAACUAAAACUCUUUGCAAUUGCAAUCAGCGUCUGAAUUAUAUAAUAAUUACAG